GACAGAGGGGGCAAGCGUUGCUCGGAAUCACUGGGCGUAAAGCGCACGUAGGCGGAUUGCUAAGUCAGAGGUGAAAUCCUGGAGCUCAACUCCAGAACUGCCUUUGAUACUGGCGACCUUGAGUCCGGGAGAGGUGAGUGGAACUGCGAGUGUAGAGGUGAAAUUCGUAGAUAUUCGCAAGAACACCAGUGGCGAAGGCGGCUCACUGGCCCGGUACUGACGCUGAGGUGCGAAAGCGUGGGGAGCAAACAGGG
rnacentral:rRNA from 1 species